UAAGGAAGUUUGUUUUUAUUACUUUGUUCUGACAUCCUGAAUGUGAAAAUUGAGCAAAUGUAUUAUUUACACUCAUUAACCUGAGUUGUAAUUCAUAUUGUUGCCAUUUAGUUAACAGUCCAAAACCAUACCAGAGUUUACAGUAAAGCAGAACCAUCAACAAACACAUGGUGAAGGGAACCUGUACUCUUGCUUCUUUUAUACUUUUUGCUGAAAUUGAUACAACAUAGUAAUGAAGUUUGCUAAAAUACUUCAAGCAAGCACCUGGAUACUGAUGCCUCCUGCUAGAAUGUGACACUUACAAAAUCAUCUUUGCAAUUUAUUGCUGCACAUAUAACUGAAUGAGCUUCAAAUAAGUGUGUAUUGUAAUAAAACACAGUUGUGAUACAGUCAUGAAAAUUUCAUUUUUGUUAACAUGGCCUUUCUUUGAUUAAAGGCAGUUAAACUAAAAUAAUAAUUUUAUCUUAGCAAAUAUCACAUUACACGCUAAACUAUUUGUAUGUUUAGACAGAAAUAAACAUUAUACACGUUGCAUUGCUUUUGUCAUGAAGAAAAUAAAAUAAAAAUAUGCAAGUAUGAA